AGGAGAGAGAGAGGAGGUGGCCGAAUAAGGGAAGAAAAGGGAGGAAGGAGAACCACUAUUUUUCAACUUGAAUUUUCACUCCAAAUCAAGUCAUAAAGGGAAAAGUGAAGGUAAUUGCAGAAGUGGGGAAUCAGCUUAAUUUGGAGGAGAAGAGGUAAGAGGUGAGAUGAGAUUUGAAAAUGGCCUUUGCGGAUUAAUCUUGCAUUAGACUGAUAAAAGAAAGGAAAAGAUUACAUGAGAGUAGGAGCAAUACCUGUUGUCACCAAGAUCAGGAGCCAACUUGAUGUAGGUGACUUAGUUCCUUGAUUUUGUGUAUAUAUGAUGUUAUCCAUUUGU